rnacentral:rRNA from 1 species
UUGCCCCUACGGGGGGCAGCAGUGAGGAGUAUUGGUCAAUGGCCGAGAGGCUGAACCAGCCAAGUCGCGUGAGGGAAGACGGCCCUACGGGUUGUAAACCUCUUUUGUCGGGGAGCAAAGAGAGUCACGUGUGACUCAUUGAGAGUACCCGAAGAAAAAGCAUCGGCUAACUCCGUGCCAGCAGCCGCGGUAAUACGGAGGAUGCGAGCGUUAUCCGGAUUUAUUGGGUUUAAAGGGUGCGCAGGCGGAGGUGCAAGUCAGCGGUCAAAGCCCGGGGCUCAACCCCGGC